rnacentral:tRNA from 1 species
GAUAAGGUAGUAUAUACUAAUAUAAUACAGAGGGUUGUGGUCCCUCAAAAGCGCUGAGAUGCUCUUAUCG